CAGAGCGUAGCUAAAAUAGAAUGGCAUCUCCCUUACACCGAGAAGGUACCUGUGCAAACCAGGUCGCACUGA
rnacentral:tRNA from 1 species